rnacentral:rRNA from 1 species
AGCAGCCACGGUAAUUCCAGCUCCAAUAGCGUAUAUUAAAGUUGCUGCAGUUAAAAAGCUCGUAGUUGAAUUUCGGGAUCGAUAUAUCGGUCGUGCCUCGGUACGUACUGGUAUUUUCGGUUUCUACCUUCUGACGAACCUUGAUGUCAUUAAUUUGGUGUCUUGGGGAAUCAGGACUGUUACUUUGAAAAAAUUAGAGUGUUUAAAGCAGGCUCACGCUUGAAUACAUUAGCAUGGAAUAAUGAAAUAGGACGUUUGAUUCUAUUUUGUUGGUUUCUAGGAUCGACGUAAUGAUUAAUAGGGAUAGUUGGGGGCAUUAGUAUUCAAUUGUCAGAGGUGAAAUUCUUGGAUUUAUUGAAGACUAACUACUGCGAAAGCAUUUGCCAAGGAUGUUUUCAUUAAUCAAGAACGAAAGUUAGGGGAUCGAAGACGAUCAGAUACCGUCGUAGUCUUAACCAUAAACUAUGCCGACUAGGGAUCGGAUGAUGUUAAUUUUUAAUGACUCAUUCGGCGCCUUAAC